GGGUCAGUAGGUUGGUCGUGCCACCGGUACGUACUGGUCUCACUGAUUCCUCCUUCCUGAAGAACCGUAAUGCCAUUAAUUUGGUGUUGCGGGGAAACAGGACUGUUAUUUUGAAAAAAUUAGAGUGUUUAAAGCAAGCUAACGCUUGAAUACAUUAGCAUGGAAUAGUGAAAUAGGACGAUCGAUCCUAUUUUGUUGGUUUCUAGGAUUGACGUA
rnacentral:rRNA from 1 species